rnacentral:rRNA from 1 species
UACGUAGGGGGCUAGCGUUGUCCGGAAUCAUUGGGCGUAAAGAGCGUGUAGGCGGCUCGGUAAGUCCGCUGUAAAAGUCAAAGGCUCAACCUUUGAAAGCCGGUGGAUACUGUGAGGCUAGAGUACGGAAGAGGCGAGUGGAAUUCCUGGUGUAGCGGUGGAAUGCGCAGAUAUCAGGAGGAACACCAAUAGCGAAGGCAGCUCGCUGGGACGUAACUGACACUGAGGCGCGAAAGCGUGGGGAGCGAACAGG